CCCUUAGAUGAUUUGGGCUGCACGCGCGCUACACUGACGGAGCCAACGAGUACUUUCCUUGUCCGGAAGGACUGGGUAAUCUUGUGAAACUUCGUCGUGCUGGGGAUAGAGCAUUGCAAUUAUUGCUCUUCAACGAGGAAUUCCUAGUAAGCGUGAGUCAUCAGCUCGCGUUGAUUACGUCCCUGCCCUUUGUACACACCGCCCGUCGCUACUACCGAUUGAAUGGCUUAGUGAGCCUUUGGGAUUGGCAGCUUGUACCGGCAACGGUAGCAGGCCGCUGAAAACUUAGGCAAACUUGGUCAUUUAGAGGAAGUAAAAGUCGUAACA
rnacentral:rRNA from 1 species